GUUUAAUCAGCAUUAGCAGCUUGCCUGCAAACUGACUGCUCCUCCUAGAUCACCGUUUCUCAAAUGCGGCCGCCGUGGCCACAUGCAGCACCCAGGGUUUCCCUGUGACCAAGGCAGUUUUCUUGGCAGUGGGGGCGGGGAGCAUCAGCCUCUUCCCCUCCUCUCUGUUGCUCCUGCAUGUGCCGCCUCUCUGGACACACAAUGCUUAAGUCCCACUAGGGUUAGCAACAAUGGAACUACAGGUACAGAUGGACUCCCUGCAAUGCUAACACCAAUGGAGCUGAACUGCUGCAGAUAAGUGAGAGAUAUACCUCAGGAUUUCCUGAAGCAGUGACACAAACUGGAGAAGUAACUGGUAGGUGUAUGAAUGGAGACGCAGAGGAGGGUGGAAGAGCUGUAGUGUUGCUCAUAGGCAUGCCCAAACAAUCCUGCUAAAGCUCAGCAAGGGAGGAGAAAAACCCUUUCCCCCGCUCCCAGAAAUAAAAAAAAAAAACACCUGUCUGCUCUGUUUGAAAAUUAAUGCAUUUUACAAAAAUCAUUUUAAAAAAUCAAGUUGACAGUGACCUUUUAGCAUGAGGAACCCGCAAUCAUGAUUACAUCACAGAGGAAGUGGCAGACAGUAACUAAAAUGGACUGAUAUUUGUGAUACCACGAAAGAUGAAUAUCACAUUGAAUUCACUAAAAUCAAACAGCUUUCAACUACAAGUGCAGAACAGAGUCAUCCAGAAACCAUGGAGCAGCAAUGUACUGAGUUGGCACACAUGCCCAAGCGAGUCAGUGAAACAGAUCAACCAACACAGUAAGCGCUACACCAGCAGUUCUCAAACUUAAUUGCACCACAACCCCCUUCUGACCGCAAAAUUACUACAUGACCCCACGAGGGUGGACCGAAGCCUGUGCCUGCCUGAGCCUUGGGCAGUGGGGCCAAAGCUGAAGCCCAAGGGCUUCAGCUCCAGCUGGGCGGAGGGAAAGCAAAGCCAAAGUCCAAGGACUUCAGCCCCAGGUGUGGGGCCCAUAACCUGAGCCCCACCAUCCAAGGCUUCAGCCCUGGGCCCCAGCAAGUCUAAUGCCAACACUGGCAACACCAUUAAAACGGAGUCAUGACCCACUUUGGGGUCCUGACCCACAGUUUGAGAACCACUGCUCUACACGGUAAGAGAGAGCAAACAGUUAAACUAGUGUAUUGACAGAAAUAAAAGUAAUCUAUGUAUUCUUGGCCUCCCUAAGGAAGAAGAGAGAUCCGAUCUGCUAUUUUAAGUAAUUGUUGGGAAAAACUCUAAAUCUAGACAUGGAAAAUGAGUCAGGGCCCACAGAAUUAAUGGGAAAGGCCCUUUACUAAACAAGGAAGAUGCAAAAACUGAGAUUAUGAAAGAAGUUUAGUAGCUGACAGGAAAAACAAGCAUUUGCAGAGCAAAGAUUUUGUUCCUUCUGGAUUUUCGACUCUCUUACUAAGAAGAGACGCUAUCUAGCUGUGAAGAGUACCUUCAUGGAAUUAAAUGUGAUGAUUCACUUUUGUAGUUAAGAAGCCUUUAGAGAAAGCACAAAGGAAAAAAGUUUUGGGACAUGAAGGAAAAAAAAAACACAUCAGCCUUACUCAGCAAGACAGUACGAGAGGAAUGUGGAUAAAGCUGUGCUGGGAACAGUCAAAGGAAUAAUUGAUAUAUAAUGUGACUGAAGAAGAAUGUGAAUUUUAAAAAUGUUAAUUUAUUAACAUCUGUCAAGGGGAUCAGAGAGCUGUUUCUUGUUGUGGCCAUGUUAAUUCAAUAUUAUAUUUGGGCUUUUCUUCUUGGCUGUAAUUGCUAUACAGACUUUGUCUUAAAAAUACAAGAAACUAUAGCGUGCAAUAAAGCAAAGCAUUUUUACCUGCUUAGCAUUGUGUUCAACAGAGUUUGUAAAACAUAUGUACUGGUAUCCUUCUCUCCCCACAAACUGGAAUAUACCACUGGAAAUUACAACACAUCCAGCAGUGUAAAUCCUCUCUUCAGUAUUCAUAUUCUGGCUGGGUUUCCUGGCAUUUAAAAUUUAUCUAACAGAACACCAAUAAUAAUAAUAAAAACUUUUGACAUUAUUAUUUUGUUAUAUUUCACAUUUAAAAAAAGAAGACCCAU